rnacentral:rRNA from 1 species
UACGUAGGGUGCAAGCGUUAAUCGGAAUUACUGGGCGUAAAGCGUGCGCAGGCGGUUUUGUAAGUCUGUCGUGAAAUCCCCGGGCUCAACCUGGGAAUUGCGAUGGAGACUGCAAGGCUAGAAUCUGGCAGAGGGGGGUAGAAUUCCACGUGUAGCAGUGAAAUGCGUAGAGAUGUGGAGGAACACCGAUGGCGAAGGCAGCCCCCUGGGUCAAGAUUGACGCUCAUGCACGAAAGCGUGGGGAGCAAACGAGGAUUACGAAACC